CAGCUGAUCGGAGACUGGAGCCGGUGUGUGCUGGGCGUUGGGAAGAGAGCGCCGCCGGCCGUGGGGAACGGACGCACUGAUUUGCUCCCCUGCUCUCAGCACCCACCACACACCCAACACCAGAUCCAGGGCCCCAAAACUCUUCUUCCAGCUGAACUCCCUGGGAAUAAGUCAGCUGGGCUGAUCACUGAACUCACAUUUCUGGAACUGAGGAGCCUGUACCUCCCACACUCUCACCUGGCUGAGCCGCAGUAGUUCUUCAGUGGCAAGCUUUAUGUCCUGACCCAGCUAAAGCUGCCAGUUGAAGAACUGUUGCCCUCUGCCCCUGGCUUCAAGGAGGAGGAGGAGGAGGAGCUGCUUUCCCCCUCAUCUGGAAGGUGACAGAACGGGCUGGGAAGGUCUGAACAGCAGGAGUGGUGAUGAUAACCUUUCAGAAAAGGGAACCCAGUUCCGCUGAAGAGUCUUCACCCUGACUGGCACAGCCAGAAAGAGCAAUUUUAGAUCAGAAACCCUGACUGAAUCAGGGAAUGGAUGGCUCUGACUACCCAAGGUUAGUCAGUGUUUGUGUGAUAAUGAGGAGAAGUGGAGCAAAGAAGACCCUGUCUGUCCCUUUAUCCAGAUGUUUUUCUUGACCUUUCUUCCUUAUCCCUCAUUCUUUCCUCUGGCCUUUCCAGGUGAGGUCCAGAAGUAAGCUGUAUCUCAGGGAGCAGUUCAUACUGAAACUCCCCAUCUGAGUGGUCAUGCCCCUGCUCUUCCCUUUCCCUGCAUUUCCAUAGACUGGCUCACACUCUAGAUUCAGGGAUACUUAGUGUAUGUGGGACCCUUAGACCUCCUGUCUGUUUCUCUACCUAUGUGUGAUAUGGGGGAAAUCACCCAGUUGAGUAUGCUUGAGGGAAUCAGAAGCCCAUUUGUGCAGACUCAGAGCUUGGGGUGGGAAACACCUUUUCACUUAUGCUAUUUCCCCUCCUCCCUCCCUGACUAUAACCCCAGGAGGUAGGGGUGGGAGUUGGAGAGUUAGAGAAGCUAGUAGGAGCUCAAUCUCUACAUGGACUUCUCACCAUGCAAACAAAGGUGGUACCAGGCGUCCUCUGCUCCCCAAAACAGGACUGCAGCUCCUGAUGGGGUUCCAGCUACCACUGCUCUCUUUCCUUACUUCACUUUCCAGGCUAGUGUGUGAUACUCAGCUCAGGCCUGUGCAGGGCAGGAACUACUUGCCCCCCAACCCCCGCCACCCCCUGGCAACCAGGAAAGCUGAGUUCUGGGACAGGAUCCCCACUUUGGGGCAUCAGACAGUGUAAACCUGUCACCCCAGCUCCUGAUCCAAUCUCACUCUUUGGCUUGGGCCCUGGUGUGGUUCAGCCUUAGCCCAGUCUCCUUGCCUGAAAGUAGCCAUGUUCUGGGGCUGCAGGAGGCUGUUUGUUCUGUUUUGGGGGAGGAGGUAUACAGGGAGCUGGGUUCUCUUCUCCACUGAUGAGAAACCGAAAGAUUUAGGGAAAAGUAGAACAUUGAACCGAGCUCUUGCAGCCUAAGCCAAAUGUGUGUGGGGCUGUGGUAGAAAGGAGUGGGUAGACAGAGUCUACUCAUAAACUUCAACAAAGGUCACCGUGUCCCUGGACCUUGCUUCCAUCCUUUCUUCCCUUCCUCGCUUCAUUGGCCACAGUGUUUCCCUCCAGCCAUGGACAUGUGGCUCUGCCAACCUCACCUGUCAUGGAGAAGACAUGAGGAAGAGCAGCCUGGGCACACAGAGGCAGGCAGAACUCCAGUGAAGAGCAAGGCCUGGAGCGCACAGGGGCCUGUCUGGGCACCCUUCAGAAGGGGCCUAUAAGGGCCAGGCGCACCCCAGGAAGAGGGAGGACAGCCAGCCUCAGCAUGGGCAAGCUUCCAGCCACCUUCAGGCUUUCUGCCUCCUUCAGAGAUGUGGGGCCAUACUAAAGUGUCCUGUGGUUUCAUCCUCCUACUUCCACCUCUCCUCCACCCUAUAAUUUUUACAUAAGCAGCUUCAAGGAACAAGAGCCAGCUGUGAAAUAUACAGGAAAUUCAUAAAAUAAAUUGAAAUGGAUAAAACCAUGGGAAAAAAGUGUGCCUCAUUAGUAAUUAAAGAGAGGCAAAUAGAGCUAUAAGCAUUUUUCCCAUAGCAGGCUGUAACAGAAAAAAAUAAGACCCAGUUGUUGGCAAAGGGCUACUAAAAUAACACCACCAUACCUUGCAUAUGGGGUACAAGUUGGUACAGUCUUCCUGGAUGCAAGUUUGGUGAUAUGUAUCAAGCAUUACUGUGGCCUUUGACCUAGUAAUUCUACACUUGGGAAUUUAUCCUAAGAAAAUAAUGAAAGAUUUAGUCAAAAGGUGUUCAUCCCAGCAUUGCAAUAGAGAAAAAUAGGAAGCAACUUUCUGAUUGGGAAUUCAUUUCUGCUGUAAUGAAAAUGUGCAAUAGGGGAUUGCUUAAGUAAAUUAUUGUAUAUCCAUCCAGAUGGUGAAGUCUGUGCAGCCAUUAAAACCAUGUGGAAGAACAUUUGACUGGAAAGAAGAAUGCUCUUUGGAUACUAAAAAGUUUAUAAAAAUAGCAUAGAUUUUAAUUUUAUUUUUUUAAGAUACAAGUAUGUACUUGCAUAAUACACAAAGACUGAGGACAUACUCUGAAAUGGUAAUAAUAGUGGUUAUUUUGGAUGGUGGAAUAAGGUAAUGGUAAUUUUCCUCUGUAAUUUUCCAAAUUUGCUGUAAUUUUUUCUGUAAUUUCCAAAUUUGCUCUUAAUUUUGUGUGGCUUUCAUAUGACAAAUAAAAUUUAAAAG